GGCUCAGGUUUCUAGGGGAGGGAGCAGUAGGGAAUUUUUCGCAAUGGAUGAAAGUUUGACGGAGCACCGCGCGGGGAGGAUGAAGGUUUUUGGAUCGUAAAGCUCUGUUGUUAGGAAGAACAAGUUCCGUUUGAAUAGGGCGGUACCUUGGCGGUACCUAACCAGAAAAGCCCGGGUAACUACGUGCCAGCAGCCGCGGUAAUACGUAGGUGGCAAGCGUUGUCCGGAAUUAUUGGGCGUAAAGGGCUCGCAGGCGGUUUCUUAAGUCUGAUGUGAAAGCCCCCCGGCUCAACCGGGGAGGGUCAUUGGAAACUGGGGAACUUGAGUGCAGAAGAGGAGAGUGGAAUUCCACGUGUAGCGGUGAAAUGCGUAGAGAUGUGGAGGAACACCAGUGGCGAAGGCGACUCUCUGGUCUGUAACUGACGCUGAGGAGCGAAAGCGUGGGGAGCGAACAGGAUUAGAUACCCUGGUAGUCCACGCCGUAAACGAUGAGUGCUAAGUGUUAGGGGGUUUCCGCCCCUUAGUGCUGCAGCUAACGCAUUAAGCACUCCGCCUGGGGAGUACGGUCGCAAGACUGAAACUCAAAGGAAUUGACGGGGGCCCGCACAAGCGGUGGAGCAUGUGGUUUAAUUCGAAGCAACGCGAAGAACCUUACCAGGUCUUGACAUCCUCUGACAAUCCUAGAGAUAGGACGUCCCCUUCGGGGGCAGAGUGACAGGUGGUGCAUGGUUGUCGUCAGCUCGUGUCGUGAGAUGUUGGGUUAAGUCCCGCAACGAGCGCAACCCUUGAUCUUAGUUGCCAGCAUUCAGUUGGGCACUCUAAGGUGACUGCCGGUGACAAACCGGAGGAAGGUGGGGAUGACGUCAAAUCAUCAUGCCCCUUAUGACCUGGGCUACACACGUGCUACAAUGGACAGAACAAAGGGCAGCGAAACCGCGAGGUUAAGCCAAUCCCACAAAUCUGUUCUCAGUUCGGAUCGCAGUCUGCAACUCGACUGCGUCAAGCUGGAAUCGCUAGUAAUCGCGGAUCAGCAUGCCGCGGUGAAUACGUUCCCGGGCCUUGUACACACCGCCCGUCACACCACGAUAGUUUGUUACACCCGACGUCGGUUGGUUCCUUU
rnacentral:rRNA from 1 species